AGAUACUUAUCUCUUCUCACCUUUCCCGGGAACAGAAGUAUUCACGAUGAAAAAGCUUGUUCUGGUACUGUUAAUCUCGAUGUUUCUCGUAACUGAGAUCAUCCAAGGAACAGAUGGCUCCUUUGGUAGACGUAGAGGUGCUGCGCCAAACAGUAGGGGAAGGCGGGAAAGGAGAGAACGUACUCACUUAGAAGAGCAGAUUGCAGAUGUUGCUAAAGCUGGUGUCAAUAUGAAUAGCGGAUCAAAAAUGGGAGAACUUUAGCACAAAAUUGUUCAUCAUAUCAUCAAAGUGAAUCGUCACGAUCAGCGAUACCAUACCCCUUCCCAAAGAAGCCUUGACCCUCCCACCGAAAAAUAAUUAAACUUCUUGAGACCCAUUCGGACCGAAAACGAUGAAAUGUAUAUAAAAGAGAGAAAAAAGAAUACAUUUGCUUCGGCAGCAAUUUUGUAUUUCUACCCAUCCUUUAAGAGAGUAACGUGUAGACGACUCCUGAUGAUAUGCGAAAAAAAAACAGAAGGAAUAUUAAUGGUUUUCCAUAUUUUUGCUUGUAUUUCAUUGCAUGUAAUCGAUGUUAUUCAUAAUCAUUUCUCAACUUUUCGUCUCUUUUUCCACAUUUCCUUAAUAUGCUUCAUCUGUCUCUCUAUUUAUAUAUCCAUAUUUCCUUCACACACACAUACACCCUCACACCCACAUUCAGCCACAGUCCUAUGUUUUGACAAUCGGGAAAUUACUCAUCAUCAAUCGCCAAAGUGGGGACGUGUGUUUGGGGUCUCGUACACUCAAACCUAAUCCACUAAUUGGGCUCAUUUUCGGAUAUACGUGAGCAUAGCAGCUAACCGUGGACGUUUCCAAUUGCCCUAACUGCUCACAGAACUUAAGUUUAAUUGACUGAACGGGAACUUUAAAAAAAAGGAAGAAGAAACAUUCGUUUCAAAGGAGACAAGGGAUCAACUGGCAUGGUUAUCCGGACCGAAGGCGUCCCCGGUUGAAGUUUAAUUGAAUGAACGGGAACUUAAAAAGAACAUUAGUUUAGUUUAACGGUUUCAAAUGAGACAAUGAAUCAACUGGCUUGGUUAUCCGGACCGAGGACGUCCCCGGUUGAUAGGUAAAAUGUAAGAAAAUGUCCCCAGAAGUAUAGGACAUUUCAAACUCACGCACUCUUCUUCUACAUGUAUUUCUCUUAUUCCAUCCCUUUUCUCUUUCUCACCCACCCAUUGCUCUUAUUACGCAUGUAUAGCGAUUGCUUUCUCAACAACUUUUGAUCAUUUUAAUAUGUUUUUCUAAAUGUAUUUAUAUGGCAUGUGUCAGAUAUAAUCAUAAAUAAUAUCGUAGAAACCCAAAACACAGUAACUAUUAUCUUUAUUAUGAUGUAUGUCAAUAAUGCAGUAAUUAUUACGUUACAAUAAAACCAAUCUUUAUUUCCAA